AAGGAGCUUGCUCUUUCCGGAUGAGUUGCGAACGGUGUGAGUAACGCGUAGGUAACCUGCCUGGUAGCGGGGGAUAACUAUUGGAAACGAUAGCUAAUACCGCAUAACAGUAGAUGUUGCAUGACAUUUACUUGAAAGGUGCAAUUGCAUCACUACCAGAUGGACCUGCGUUGUAUUAGCUAGUUGGUGAGGUAACGGCUCACCAAGGCGACGAUACAUAGCCGACCUGAGAGGGUGAUCGGCCACACUGGGACUGAGACACGGCCCAGACUCCUACGGGAGGCAGCAGUAGGGAAUCUUCGGCAAUGGACGGAAGUCUGACCGAGCAACCCGCGUGAGUGAAGAAGGUUUUCGGAUCGUAAAGCUCUGUUGUAAGAGAAGAACGAGUGUGAGAGUGGAAAGUUCACACUGUGACGGUAUCUUACCAGAAAGGGACGGCUAACUACGUGCCAGCAGCCGCGGUAAUACGUAGGUCCCGAGCGUUAUCCGGAUUUAUUGGGCGUAAAGCGAGCGCAGGCGAUUAGAUAAGUCUGAAGUUAAAGGCUGUGGCUUAACCAUAGUACGCUUUGGAAACUGUUUAACUUGAGUGCAAGAGGGGAGAGUGGAAUUCCAUGUGUAGCGGUGAAAUGCGUAGAUAUAUGGAGGAACACCCGGUGGCGAAAGCGG
rnacentral:rRNA from 1 species